UACGUAGGGUGCAAGCGUUGCCCGGAUUUAUUGGGCGUAAAGGGCGCGUAGGCGGCUCGGCACGUCCGUUGUGAAAUCACCCGGCUCAACUGGGCGGGGUCAGCGGAUACGGCAGAGCUUGAGCAAGCUAGGGGGCAAUGGAAUUCCCGGUGUAGUGGUGGAAUGCGUAGAUAUCGGGAGGAACACCAGUGGCGAAGGCGGUUGCCUGGGGCUUUGCUGACGCUGAUGCGCGAAAGCGUGGGGAGCGAUCCGG
rnacentral:rRNA from 1 species